GAUGAACGCUAGCGACAGGCUUAACACAUGCAAGUCGAGGGGCAGCACGGGAGUAGCAAUACAACUGGUGGCGACCGGCGCACGGGUGAGUAACGCGUAUGCAACCUACCUAUCAGAGGGGAAUAACCCGGCGAAAGUCGGACUAAUACCGCAUAAAACAGGGGCACCGCAUGGUGAUAUUUGUUAAAGAAAUUCGCUGAUAGAUGGGCAUGCGUUCCAUUAGGUAGUUGGUGAGGUAACGGCUCACCAAGCCGACGAUGGAUAGGGGAACUGAGAGGUUGGUCCCCCACACUGGUACUGAGAAACGGACCAGACUCCUACGGGAGGCAGCAGUGAGGAAUAUUGGUCAAUGGGCGGGAGCCUGAACCAGCCAAGUCGCGUGAAGGAAGAAGGAUCUAUGGUUCGUAAACUUCUUUUGCAGGGGAAUAAAGUGCAGGACGUGUCCUGUUAUGUAUGUACCCUGAGAAUAAGGAUCGGCUAACUCCGUGCCAGCAGCCGCCGUAAUAC
rnacentral:rRNA from 1 species